rnacentral:rRNA from 1 species
UACGUAGGCAGCGAGCGUUGUUCGGAGUUACUGGGCGUAAAGGGUGUGUAGGCGGUUCUCUAAGUUUGGUGUGAAAUCCCUCCGCACACGGGAGGGUGCGCCGAAAACUGGAGGGCUAGAGUGCGGGAAGGGAGAGUAGAAUUCCUGGUGUAGCGGUGAAAUGCGUAGAUAUCAGGAGGAAUACCGGUGGUGCAGACGGCUCUCUGGACCGCGACUGACGCUGAGACACGAAAGCGUGGGUAGCAAACAGG